GGGGUAUACAUUUCAGUUUGACACAUUUGUCGAGGAUUAGGACCACUGAACCGAAGUUGGCUUAUGGAGAUCCGAGUUACAUGUAUGUCUGUGUCGAAUUUUACUUCGCUGCUACUCAAUUCUUCAUCUUCAUUAUCAAAUUGCAGAAAAGCAAAACAUUUGCCCAAACUAGAAGUCAUGAAAUCGCCAUUAACUUUUUGC
rnacentral:lncRNA from 1 species